rnacentral:snoRNA from 1 species
AGCCUCUCACAUUGAGCUGUGGGAUCCCUUUCCUCCUCAGCCAGGUCUGGAGGCCAAGAUCAGCCCUUGAAGAUCAUUGUCAGGACUGCUAUGAGUGGGCAGCUUUGUUUUCCUGCCUCAGACACUG